AUUGAACGCUGGCGGCAGGCCUAACACAUGCAAGUCGAGCGGUAACAGAUCCAGCUUGCUGGAUGCUGACGAGCGGCGGACGGGUGAGUAAUGCAUAGGAAUCUGCCCGAUAGUGGGGGAUAACCUGGGGAAACCCAGGCUAAUACCGCAUACGUCCUACGGGAGAAAGGGGGCUCCGGCUCCCGCUAUUGGAUGAGCCUAUGUCGGAUUAGCUAGUUGGUGAGGUAACGGCUCACCAAGGCCACGAUCCGUAGCUGGUCUGAGAGGAUGAUCAGCCACAUCGGGACUGAGACACGGCCCGAACUCCUACGGGUGGCAG
rnacentral:rRNA from 1 species